GGCUCUCUGAUCGUGUGAGGCAUUCGUGCAGCAAAAACAGGCGAAAUGGCGGGAGCGGUCGGGUAAAAACAUGCGAAACGCCCGAGAGCCACGAACCCCCCAGAACCAUGCGAACCGAGCGAUCAAUAGGAACAAGGGGAAAGGAAAACUCCCGAACGGAGGUAAGUAAACUCACGGCAACAGAAGAGAUGAAAGGACGGACAGCCGACCGGAGCA